rnacentral:misc_RNA from 1 species
GAUGAAGAACGUAGCGAAACGCGAUAAGUAAUGUGAAUUGCAGAAUCCAGUGAAUCAUCGAAUCUUUGAACGCACAUUGCGCCCGCCAGCAUUCUGGCGGGCAUGCCUGUUCGAGCGUCAUUUCAACCCUCGACCUCCCCUUGGGGAGGUCGGCGUUGGGGACCGGCAGCACACCGCCGGCCCUGAAAUGGAGUGGCGGCCCGUCCGCGGCGACCUCUGCGCAGUAAUACAGCUCGCACCGGGACCCCGACGCGGCAACGCCGUAAAACACCCAACUUCUGAACGUUGACCUCGAAUCAGGUAGGACUACCCGCUGAACUUAAGCAUAUCAAUAAGCGGAGGA